AAAAAGCUCGUAGUUGAACUUUGGGUUUGGUUGGCCCGUCCGAUUUUCUUCGUGUACGGGAUCCAACCGAACCUUUCCUUCUGGCUAACCUAGGGUACUUGUAUCCUAGGCGAACCAGGACUUUUACUUUGAAAAAAUUAGAGUGUUCAAAGCAGGCGCAAGCUCGAAUAUAUUAGCAUGGAAUAAUAGAAUAGGACGUUUGGUUCUAUUUUGUUGGUUUCUAGGACCAUCGUAAUGAUUAAUAGGGACGGUCGGGGGCAUCAGUAUUCAAUUGUCAGAGGUGAAAUUCUUGGAUUUAUUGAAGACUAACUACUGCGAAAGCAUUUGCCAAGGACGUUUUCAUUAAUCAAGAACGAAAGUUAGGGGAUCGAAGAUGAUCAGAUACGCCGUAGUCUUAACCAUAAACUAUGCCGA
rnacentral:rRNA from 1 species